rnacentral:misc_RNA from 1 species
CCAGGGUGUUCAGAACAAGAAAGUAGCACUUCCGUGUGAUAUCGAGCCACGCAACAAGGAGGACCAGGUCUACAUGGUGCUCUGGUUCAAAGAGGCAGACGGUGAACCUUUGUACAGCUUCGACGUUCGCGGCCGCGAGUACGGCCAGGCCAAGACGUGGUCGGCGCCGCGUGCGUUCGGCUCGCGGGCCUUCUUCCGCACGGCGACGACGCCGGCGCAGCUGCUCGUCGACGACCUGGCGCUCUCCGACGAGGGCGUCUACCGCUGCCGCGUCGACUUCCGCGACUCGCCGACGAGGAACCUCAAGAUCAACCUCACCGUCAUCAUUCCGCCCCAUGGGAUCGUCAUUUACGACGACAAGAGACGCGACCGCAGCCAGGUGAAGGAGGCGUACAACGAGGGCGCCGUCGUCAACCUCAUCUGCGAAGUCUCUGGCGGCCGCCCGAUGCCGCGAGUCACGUGGUUCCUGGAGAACACGGUGAUCGACGACUCGUUCGAGCAGCGGCCGGCUGACGGCCUCACCGUGAACCACCUGACGUUCCCCAACAUCGGCCGCCAGCACCUGCACUCCCGUCUCAUCUGCCAGGCGUCCAACACCAACAUGGCACCGCCUGUCACCAAAUUGGUCGUCCUCGACAUCAACCUUAAGCCAGUUUCGGUGAACAUACUGACGAGGGAGAAAGCUGUGUCUGCAGACCGUAGGUACGAGGUCGAAUGCAAGUCUUCAGGGUCGCGACCUGAGGCCAUCAUAACCUGGUGGAAGGGUAGCCGCCAGAUCAAGCGACACAAUAAGAACUUCUCGGAGGAUAGCGGGGCGAGCCGGAGCAUCCUCACGUUCAUCCCGGUCAUCGAUGACGACGGCAAGUACCUGACGUGCCGGGCCGAGAACCCCUACAUCCAGGACAGUGCCUUAGAGGACAAGUGGCGGCUCAACGUACACUACAUGCCCGUUGUAACACUCAAGAUGGGGUCGAGUCUCAAUCCAGAUGACAUCAAAGAAGGAGACGACGUAUACUUCGAGUGCAAUAUUCGUGCCAACCCUAAAGCUUACCGGCUCGCCUGGUUCCACAAUGGCCGCGAGAUGCACCACAACGUGACGGCGGGCAUAAUCCUGAGCGACCAGUCCCUGGUCCUUCAGGGAGUGACGCGGCUCAGCGCCGGCGACUACACCUGUCUGGCCGCCAACACCGAGGGCAAGGGCACCAGCAACCCGGUCACGCUACGCGUCAUGUACGCGCCGACGUGCCGCGACGAGCGUGAGCAGCUGCUGGGCGCACUGAAGCACGAGACGGUGGCGCUGCGCUGCGAGGUGGACGCCAGCCCGGCGCCGCUCGCCUUCCACUGGACCUUCAACAACUCGGGCGAGCUGGCCGAGGUGCCGCCGGCGCGCUACACCAGCCUCGGCGCCAUCUCCUCCCUCAACUACACCCCCGUCUCCGAUAUGGACUACGGCACGCUUGCCUGCUGGGCCACCAACGCGGUCGGCAACCAGCGGGCGCCGUGCGUCUUCCAGGUAGUGGCCGCAGGGCGACCGUUCCCACUGGUGAACUGCACCGUGGUGAACCAGACGUCGGACUCUCUGCACGUGGAGUGUCUGGAGAGCUUCGACGGCGGGCUGCCGCAGAGCUUUCUCAUGGAGGUGCUGGAGCUGCCGCAGCUGCAGCUGCGCCGCAACGCGACGGCGGGCCGCGCGCCGCCCGCCUUCGACGUCUUCGGCCUGGAGGCGGGCGCCAGCUACCAGGUGCGCCUGUACGCCGUCAACGCCAAGGGCCGCAGCGAGGCCUACGUCAUCGACGCCGUCACGUUCAAGGGCGUCGCCAAGUUCACAGGGCCGUCGUCUGCGGCGCCGAUGAACCCCGUCCUGACGGCGCUGGUGGCCACGGCGGCCGCGCUGCUCGCCGUCGUCUGCGCCGUCAUCGUCGCCCUCUACCGCCGCCACCGGCACCGCCGCCAGCCGCGACACGACAAGGGGCCAGCGGGGGUGCGGUGUCGACCCGGUCGUCGCUAGACGCGCUGCAGGAGGCGCACCUGGCUACGGCGCCGCUCACACCGGGCAUCGGACAGCCCGCCGGUGCGCUCUCCCAGGAGGACACCGACCCGGACCUCAUCCCCAACAAGUACGACGGCCGAUCAAGGGCUUCAUGAAGAUGUACAAGACGCCUCCGCAACGACGACGGAAAAAGAGCGUCAGUGGAGCGUGCGACGGCGGGGACGAUGACGACGACGACGGCGACGGCUGCUGUACGGAGG